rnacentral:rRNA from 1 species
ACUCAAAGGAAUAGACGGGGGCCCGCACAAGCGGAGGAGCAUGUGGCUUAAUUCGAUGCAACGCGAAGAACCUUACCCGGGUUUGACAUGUGACUGCACGUCCUAUGAAAGUAGGACUCCUUCGAGGGUGUCACACAGGUGCUGCAUGGCUGUCGUCAGUUCGUGCCGUGAGGUGUUUGGUUAAGUCCAGCAACGAACGCAACCCCUAUGUUCUGUUACCAGCGGGCAAUGCCGGGGACUCAGAACAGACUGCCUAUUCACAUAGGAGGAAGGUGGGGACGACGUCAAGUCAGUAUGGCCCUUACGCCCGGGGCUGCACACGUGCUACAAUGGCCGGCACAAAGGGAAGCUAAACCGCGAGGUGGCGCAAAACCCCAGAACCGGCCCCAGUUCAGAUUGCGGUCUGCAACUCGACCGCAUGAAGUCGGAUUCGCUAGUAACGGCGCAUCAGCUACGGCGCCGUGAAUACGUUCCCGGGCCUUGUACACACCGCCCGU